rnacentral:rRNA from 1 species
UACGAAGGGGGCUAGCGUUGUUCGGAUUUACUGGGCGUAAAGCGCACGUAGGCGGAUCUUUAAGUCAGAGGUGAAAUCCCAAGGCUCAACCUUGGAACUGCCUUUGAUACUGGGGAUCUCGAGUUCGGGAGAGGUGAGUGGAACUGCGAGUGUAGAGGUGAAAUUCGUAGAUAUUCGCAAGAACACCAGUGGCGAAGGCGGCUCACUGGCCCGAUACUGACGCUGGAGGUGACGAAAGGCGUGGGGAGCAAACAGG